rnacentral:rRNA from 1 species
GACGAACGCUGGCGGCGUGCUUAACACAUGCAAGUCGAACGGAAAGGCCCUGCUUGCAGGGUGCUCGAGUGGCGAACGGGUGAGUAACACGUGGGUGAUCUGCCCCUUACUUUGGGAUAAGCCUGGGAAACUGGGUCUAAUACUGGAUAGGACCAUGCUGUACGUGGUGUGGUGGAAAGAUUAGUUUCGGUAAGGGAUGAGCUCGCGGCCUAUCAGCUUGUUGGUGGGGUAAUGGCCUACCAAGGCGUCGACGGGUAGCCGGCCUGAGAGGGUGGACGGCCGCAUUGGGACGGAGAAAAGGCGCAGACGACUACGGGAGGCAGCAGUGGGGAAGAUUGCACAAUGGGGGGAAGACGGAUGAAGCGACGCCGCGUGGGGGAUGACGACGGUCGGGUUGUAAACAACUUUCAGCAAUGACGAAGCACUGGUGGUGACGGUAGUGGUAGAAGAAGCACCGGCUAACUACGUG